CGACGUAGGUAACCUGCCUGGUAGUGGGGGAUAACUAUUGGAAACGAUAGCUAAUACCGCAUAAUAACAGUUGUUGCAUGACAACUGUUUGAAAGGUGCAAUUGCAUCACUACCAGAUGGACCUGCGUUGUAUUAGCUAGUUGGUGGGGUAACGGCUCACCAAGGCGACGAUACAUAGCCGACCUGAGAGGGCGAUCGGCCACACUGGGACUGAGACACGGCCCAG
rnacentral:rRNA from 1 species